rnacentral:lncRNA from 1 species
GUACGGCGGCGCCGCUAGCCGGGAACACUUUUCUUCUUAUUAUUAUUUUUUUUAUUUUUUCUGUUAAACACUAAAUCCAACCUCAAAACACCCAAAAUCAAACCCAAGAAAUUGUUUUCGAACCCAAAUCCGAACCAAGACAAAAAGCAAUUAUUCAAAAUAUUUGAUCUAAGUUCUGUGAUUGUUUUUUUAUUAUUUUGGUAAACACACAAAAAUCAAAACAAACCCAAAAGGAAGACUUUUAAACAAAAUAGGGAAAAAAGAUAAGUUAAAAUCGAACUAACCCUUGAAGACCAAAAGAUUCAGACUCCUCUUCCUCUUCCCUGCUUUCUUUCUUUGAUAUAUUUUUUUACUCUUGUGAAAAUUUUCUGUGUUUUCUCUCAAUUGAAAUUUUCUGUUCCCCUCCACCUUUUCUGCGUGAGUGAACAAAGUUUUAUGGAAAAUUACAAAAGCCAAAUGUUUGGUCUGCUGCUGUUUGAACUUGUUGAUUAAAGUGAGAUUUUUUGCAGGAAAGGGAUGUACUGUUGCUUGUUGUAGUUAAAGUUGCAGCAAAAGGUGAAGAGAANNNNNNNNNNNNNNNNNNNNNNNNNNNNNNNNNNNNNNNNUUUCUUUUUUUGUAUUGUUUAAAAUUAAAGAAAAAAUAACAAAUAAUAAAAUAAAAUAAAAGGGAGGGGAGCGUGCUGUUGCUGUUCUUCUUUUUCCUUUUGAUUUUUGUUUUUUUUUCAUUAUAAUAAUACCAAUAAUAAUAAAAAGGAAAAAGGAAUUUUUUAAAAAAAGAAAGGGGAAGGGAAAGCAGCGUGCUGCUCCUUUUCUUUUAUAUGUUUUUUAUUUUUAAUAAAAAUAACAAAUAAUAAUAAUAAUAAUAAUAAUAAAUAUAAUAAUUAUAAUGGUAAUAAUAGAACUAAAGAUAUAAAAAUAAAAAAAAUAAAAGACUAACACUAAGAAAAAGGACGAAAGGACACUUGAACCAAAACGAAAAUGAG